AUGGCAGACCCUUGGCAGGGAGUGCAUGGAUUAUGCAGUUAUCCUAGCAAGACAAGCUGGAGAGAUGAUUCGUGAAGCUCUAAACCAUGAGGUGGAUGUCAUGAUUAAAAGUUCUCCAGCCGACUUGGUAACAGUGACUGACCAAAAAGUUGAAAACAUGCUCUUCUCUUCUAUAAAGAAAAAGUACCCGUGUCAGUUUCAUUGGUGAAGAAUCCGUGGCAGCUGGAGAAAUGACAGUCUUCACAGACAAGCCCACGUGGAUCAUUGACCCUAUCGAUGGAACGACUAACUUUGUGCAUUGGUUUCCCUUUGUAGCUGUUUCGAUUGGCCUCGUUGUAAAUAAAGAGAUGGAGUUUGGAAUUGUGUACAGCUGUGUGGAAGAUAAGAUGUACACCGGCAGGAAAGGGAAAGGCGCCUUCUGUAACGGCCAGAAGCUUCAGGUGUCACAGCAGGAAGACAUUACCAAAUCACUCUUGGUGAUCGAGUUGGGCUCGUCCAGAAAGCCAGAGACGUUACGGAUUAUUCUGUCCAAUAUGGAAAAGCUUUGCUCCAUUCCCAUCCAUGGAAUCCGGAGUGUUGGGACAGCUGCUGUUAAUAUGUGCCUUGUGGCAACUGGAGGAGCGGAUGCCUAUUAUGAAAUGGGGAUUCACUGCUGGGACAUGGCCGGAGCUGGUAUCAUCGUCACCGAAGCCGGCUGAGUGCUGAUGGAUGUAACAGGUGAACCAUUUGAUCUGAUGUCUCGGAGAAUAAUUGCUGCAAAUAGUAUAGCACUCGCCGAAAGAAUAGCCAAAGUAAUUGAGAUAAUACCUUUACAAAGAGACGACGAAAGUUAGUCACACACAACAGUGUC